rnacentral:lncRNA from 1 species
UUACCAACCAUUGUUUUGGACUGAGCUCCUGCGCUCCAACAGAACAGACUGAAAAUCAAAAUGGAGUCACCCAUGCUAGAGUUCCAGGUCACAAACCUAAACUAAGUUGUUCUCUGACCUUUCCAGAAAUCAGGAGAAAGAGAGAGAACCGCCCAUUUCCCAAACAGGCCAGCUUAAAUCUUCAAUCAACGUGAUGAUGAAGUUCCUCUGCUUUAAUCCUUCCACUAAAAAAGGUAACCUAAAGUAACUGGACGUUAACGACUUAUUUUUCUAUUGCUCUGUCUAAAGUAACUAAUAGACUUUUUGUUCUUCAUUUCUGCUUUCUUCAGUCCUUCUCUGUCUUUAUAAAGCCAACCUCUGCUGCUCAGCUUAUUGGAACACUUAUUCUAUUUGAGGAAAUGAAGUGUUGCCUGAUUUUAGAACUGCAAAUAAAGCCAACUGAGAUCUUUAAACUUGUUAUGAUUUUGUCUUUUGACACAGCUAACAAGGAACAGACCAGGAACAACUGCACUUCCCUGUGGCUGUCGGGAUGGAUCAGAAGCGGCAGGAUGAAGACAGCAAGAGCCAGAAGGAGGCUUCAGCUGUGAAUCAUGAUCUGUGCUGUUCUUUCCCAUGUCUGCAAUUUGGCUGGUUCUCUCGUUUGUCUGCAAAUCAUCUCGUCUCCACAUGUCUUAUCCUGGCGGUCAGGAUGCUUUCAGUUGCAAGUGACAGAGACCUAACUCAAAGCAGCUUAAGAAAAAAAGGUAUUUAUUGGUUAAUGUAUAUUUUAAAAAAUCUGCUUCAGGCAUGGCUGGAUCCAGGCUUAAAUGGUUUCAUCAGAUCUCUCUGAUUCUCUUUGCUUCUUUUAAUUGGGGUUCCCUCUCAAGCAGGUUUACCGGGCAGUCUCAGAUUCACAUUCUCUCAGUUUAUUUUCCUAGGUAUAAAGAGAGCUUCUCUUUUCAAAGAGCUCCUAUCAAAGUCUCAGAACUGAUUCUCAUUGGCCAGACUGGGAGUUAGUGGAGUAUGCUAAUGAGAGUUCUGAUUCACAUGGAAGAGGAGGGGUUUACUGAUUCAGUUACUUUAGGAUAAUUAAUGAGAUUCAUGAACAAUUAAUUUCAUGAAUGAAUAAAUUCAUUCUUAUGUUAAGUUUUUAAUUCAACAGGUAUCUAUCUAUUGAGUAUUUAGCUGAGAACUUAUCUAAGUACUGGGAACCGAGAAAUGAUCAAAACAGAGAAAAACUCUUGUCUCCAUGGAGCUUACAUUCAAUAAAGGGAGACAGAUAACAGCUCAAUCUGUAAAAUACAGUACAAUACAAGAUAAAUACGUGAAAUGUAUAGUGUGCCAGAUAAGGAUAAACAAUAUGGAGAAAAAUAAGCAGGGAAAGAGGAUCA